GGAAAACGCCUGACAGCCUAUUUAAGAGGCGGUAUCAUUGGACAGAGAGUGCAGACUGUUCUUCUGCAAAACACUGACGUCUGUGACUGCAGACCCUGACUGGCAGGUGCUCGUGACAGUUGUUCUGUGCACAAGCAGCUCUUCUGUGACCAUGGGGGAGAAAGAAGCGUGCUUAUUUUCACCUGUUGCUCCUGCAGGGACCUGGAUUAAACAUUUGUUGUCCACUCACUUUACACCUAAACACUCACUGGAGGAAGGAGCCCAAAGUGACCACUGGUCAUCUCACCCAUUUUGCACCAGAAAAAGACUUGUGGUGGCCCUUCUGCUCAUUUUGGCCUUGGUUGUCAUGACGCUGCUUCUGCUGCUGAAUUAUUAUUGUAUUAUGGUCUGGCACCUGUGUCAACAGGAGGAGCCUUAUCCCCCAAUAUUUGGCACGACGCCAAAUCUGGAACAGCAGGACUGAGAUGCUACAUGUUUGAUUGUUUGUGUUCUAGUGUUCAGUGCGUCCAUCUGGGAUGCAUGCUGCUGUGUUUUUGGUUUGAUGAACUGAAAUAACACUGAACAUGUUCAGUACAUAUUUGUGAUUUAUUAAGGAAAUCAUUUACACUGUCAAGUUACUCAGUUCCUGAGGUUUUAGUUUUGUAUUUAUUUACUGAUUUAUUUACUGUAGGUUUGCCAUUGACAAUUAUGCCUAUUUAAGUUUUCUCUAUUUGUCCUAUUUAACAUUGUUAAUCUUUAUCUAGUGGUGCUAGUUAAAUGUAGCUAAACACUGUUCAUAAAACAGUUCUUGUUAAAGCUUCGAGAAUCUUUAAACCUCUUUUCAGAAAUGUUUUCAAUAUCAUCUGCAGGUUUAUACAAACAUAAACAGAUCCAUGCUUUUUACAGAUCACGCUGUAUUGUAUAUACAAAAAACAAUGUACAACUUGAUGACUUCACGUUAACCUUUGGCAUACUUUUGACUACUUAAUAAACAACUUCACCUUUGGCACACUU
rnacentral:lncRNA from 1 species